GCCAAAAAGGUAAAGGGCAAAUUGAUUGGUGACUCACCUAUGUUCGAGCAUAAUUUUUUUAUUGUUUAUGUUUGUAGUACUCUGUGCUGCCUUGAUUCUGUGCAUUCUGUGUACUGUUAUUGAUGUAGGUGCCUAUUUCUAUAGUUUUUGCUACAUCAACAUAGCACUGGAUGAGCCCAAGAUGGUUAGAAACGUCUAUGCAAAGUUUGUUGCCAGAACAGUGCUGGUCAAAAAUGGUCAGGUUGAUGAUGCCAUGAAACUUCUGAACAGACUCCUGGGACAGGAAGGUUUCCUGGAGCAGUACCGGAGGACGAGGUACUACGAAAAACCGUCGCAGUUCCGAAGACGGAUCAACUUCGAAAAAUGCAAGGCGAUACACAAUGAAGACAUGGACCGGAAACUGCAGUUUUUGAUGAGGAAAAAUCGGCUCACACCUUGGGUUGGCUGUGAAUGAAUGGCUAUGCGGUGUCAUAUGUCUCAAUGCUUGUUAUACCUAUGUAGAAUGAUUAUGUGUCAACUUGGUUUCAUAAACAUGUCGUGAAAACA
rnacentral:misc_RNA from 1 species